rnacentral:lncRNA from 1 species
CAAAAUUUGUAAAUGUAAACCAUUAUAGGUCAAAGUACGGUCUUCAACACGGAGCCUUGGCUCAAACCGAACAGAAAGCCACAAAGGGCCCCAAAAAUGACUAGUGUAAAACCAUUUAAAGUCUAACCUAUUUAAAAAAAAAAGGUAUACAAUGUACUUGCAUAUCUAUCUAUAUACAAUGGAAGUUUUUGAAAAGUGGCCCGAACGUUGUGACC